UAAAUUGUCUUCUGAAACUAUGUUUUCAUUAUUAUUUCUUAUUUAACUUUUCUUUUUCGAAAAAAAAGUCACAGUUGAUGAUAAUUUCAAAAAGAAAUAUACGUUACUAAUCUUUUGUGUAUUUUGGUGUUUCUAGCCAUCCAUUCAUUUUUUUUAUUAUAUUAAUCCCUUUUUCUUUUUCUAUUAUACAUAAAUACUCUUUUGGAUAAUUUCAAAAAGAAAUAUUUCUAAGCAGUUAAAAUAAUUAAUUACAAGCAGUUAAAAUAAAUUAUUAUUAUUUCCUCCGAUUCCAAGAC
rnacentral:lncRNA from 1 species